CGUGAAUUUUUUUUUCCUGUCAUAAACGUAAUUGAAUACUGGAAUUUUUUUUUAAAUCAAAGUUGUGAAUUUUUUAUCGGAGAUUUUUUUGGUGAAUCUCAACGAAUUUUUACGAAUUUUAACGAAUUUUUGUGAAGUUUCUUGUGUCCGAAUCUGUAAAAUCAAAAAACGUGAAUUUUUUUAAUCAAAUUUCAACAAAUUUUCGCGAAUUCCAACGAAUUUUUGUGAAGUUGUUUGUGUCCGAAUCUGUAAAAUUAAAAAAAACGUGAAUUUUUUCAUCGGAGAUUUUUUUGUGAAUUUCAACAAAUUUUCCCGAAUUUCAACGAAUUUUCCCGAAUUUCAACGAAUUUUCCUGAAGUUUUUCGUGUCCGAAUCUGUGAAGAAGUUCUUCUUGAAGGUCAACAGACGAUUACUUCCUGGAAAGUGGUUUUCAAGUCAAUUUUUCAAUUCAAUUUUCAAGAUGAUUCCUUACAAUGAACCUGAACCGUUAAGUCAAGCCACCAAAGCUCAAAUAAUGAGACUGGUCAAUCAUUACGUACAUAGAGAAAAACAGACCAUUAUUUUCUACGAUGACCAUGAUACAUGGGAUCUUGCGCACCCAGACGUUGCAGGGUACCAUGUACCCUUCUUUAAUGUGACCUGGGAUGAAAUUGACGAUGUUCAAAGGACAAUGAACAAACUUUUCUAUUAUUUAGGCAUUGAAGCCUAUGUAUUUUUCAUAACUGUGCCAAAUAAAAUUUUCGUUUUCGAUGUAAUAAUUUCAAACGAACGAAUUCUGCCCGAAUUAUUAUUGAAACCUGGGCAAUGAAACCAAAAUGAAAUAUGAAAAAUCCAUUUUUUUUUGCUAUGUUACUUUUUCAAUUUUUUUAUGCUAGUUUUUUUUAUUUUAUCAAGCAUGUACAUAGGUAGCUUUUAAUUAUAAGUAGGGCAACCCAAAAUAUGCUCUCAUUCGAGGUAAAGUACCUAUUGAAUAGGUAUUAUAAUCGAUUUUUCUUUGGAAUGAAAUAUUUCCAAAAUAUUCAUAUACCCUACUCGAAAAUUUCAAUACAAAUGGGUAUCAUUUUCACUCGUUUUGAUGAGCACAUAAUAAAAAUGACUAUGUCUUUGGGUUCUGUUUCAUAAUUUACCCAUAUUACUCUCAAAACAGAACAGAAUUUUUGAAUUAAAAUUCUUAUUCAACAAAAUUGAGUCAUUAUCAAUAAUUUUAAAUUUGUCAUUUCAUCAAUCAGCAAAGCAUAAUCGUCAAAAAACGACUGUGAACAUGACAUUUGCGAUCUUCCGAUCCUGAAACUGCUCAAAAUAUUCAAUAAAUUGUGAAAUAUGACGAUUUUCAGUAGAAAAUAUUCAGAAAUCAUUAAAUUGAGCUCAUUACAAUAAAACCUUCAAAAAAACAAAUAUAUUGGGUUGUCCCAAUGAAUAGCAAACAGUAGUUUUUCUUAUUGUAUAAUUUAUUCUAUAAAAAUACGUAUAAAAAACAAAAAAAAAACAAUUAGUUUAAAUACAUACAUAUCUAAUAACUGUACAAAAAUUAAUAUUUUUCUUUUUUUUUACAGGUUAAUUAAAAUUACUUUUUACAAUUUUUUUUUCUCACUCUUUCUUCGGACUUGCUUGAUAUCAACUUAAACGUUUGAACGGUGCCUCUGAAAAUUACAAAAACAAAUACCUCAAUAAAAAUAAAACAAAACAAAAAAUCGUGAUUGAAAAAAAUAAAUAAAUCAAAUAAACAAAUAAAAGAACCUUUUUUUGGAAAAAACAAAUGACAAAAAAAAAAAAAAAAACCAUAAAAACUUCGAAAACAAAAUUCUAAAUUUAAAAAAAAAAAAAAAAAAAAAAAAAAAAAAGGAAAAUAAA